CAAAGAGUAGUUUAAUUUAAUAAUACCUGCUUUGGGAGCCGGCGAUGAGAGUUUAAAUCUCUUCUCUUUGA
rnacentral:tRNA from 1 species